GUCUUCAAACAGCUCUCUCUUGGCUUCUGCUCCAAGAAGUGGAGAAGGCAGCAGACAGCAGCUUCAGUUUCUAACGGACCCCAGCUACUUCGGGAACUGCAAGAAAGAGAAAUGUAAUGAGUGACAAUGUUUUGUCAAAAACUGGCUACAGAUGUAAUAGAGAGAGCACUGUCCUUGGCGUUUUCUGCAUCUGAAAUCAAGCUCCGUAACCAAUACGACGACAUAGCUUUGAGCAUGUGACUUCAUCUCCAAGCCUCUGUGUACACAUCUGCAAGAAUGCGAUAAACUGAGGAACCACUUCUCAGAGAUGUGAAAGUACACCUUCCACAGGCCCGGAUGUUCACACAUACAGAGGAAAGAGGGGAGUGAGGCUUCCCCUCGCAAGGGCAACAGUGGAAGGAUCUUCUGUCUACUGCAGCAAAAGAACAAA